AGGAUAAACGCUGGCGGCGUGCAUGAGACAUGCAAGUCAAACGGACGAUCGGGGUUCGCUCUGAUCGUUAGUGGCGGACGGCUGAGUAACGCGUAGGUGACCUGCCCCCGAAGUGGGGAAUAACUGCCCGAAAGGGUGGCUAAUACCGCAUGUGGUGGUGCGUUCGAUCGCACCAGUAAAGCCGCAAGGCGCUUCGGGAGGGGCCCGCGUCCGAUUAGCUCGUUGGUGAGGUAACGGCUCACCAAGGCGACGAUCGGUAGGUGGUCUGAGAGGACGAUCACCCAGACUGGGACUGAGACACGGCCCAGACUCCUACGGGAGGCAGCAGUCGGGAAUUUUGCGCAAUGGACGAAAGUCUGACGCAGCAACGCCGCGUGAGGGAUGAAGGCCUUCGGGUUGUAAACCUCUUUUUCCAGGGAAGAUAAUGACGGUACCUGGCGAAUAAGUCACGGCUAACUACGUGCCAGCAGCCGC
rnacentral:rRNA from 1 species